UACGGGGGGGGUAAGCGUUGUUCGGAAUUACUGGGCGUAAAGGGCUCGUAGGCGGCCAACUAAGUCAGACGUGAAAUCCCUCAGCUUAACUGGGAACUGCGUCUGAUACUGGAUGGCUUGGAUUCGGGAGAGGAAUGCGGAAUUCCAGGUGUAGCGGUGAAAUGCGUAGAUAUCGGAGGAACACCGGUGGCGAAGGCGGCAUUCUGGACCGACAUUGAACGCUGAGGAGCGAAAGCCAGGGGAG
rnacentral:rRNA from 1 species